rnacentral:rRNA from 1 species
GAUGAACGCUGGCGGCGUGCUUAACACAUGCAAGUCGAACGAGAAGUGAAGACGGAAACCUUCGGGCGGAAGGCUUUAUUUCGAGUGGCGGACGGGUGAGUAACGCGUGGGUAACCUGCCUCAUACAGGGGGAUAACAGUUGGAAACGACUGUUAAUACCGCAUCAGACCACAGCACCGCAUGGUGCGGGGGUAAAAACUCCGGUGGUAUGAGAUGGACCCGCGUUCGAUUAGCCAGUUGGCAGGGUAACGGCCCACCAAAGCGACGAAGGAUGGCCGAUAGGGGAGGAGGACAGGCUACAUUGGGACUGAGACCCGGCCCAAACUCCUACGGGAGGCAGCAGUGGGGAAUAUUGCACAAUGGGGGAAACUGUGACGAAGCGACGCCGCGUGAGUGAAGAAGUAUUUCGGUAUGUAAAGCUCUAUCAGCAGGGAAGAAAAUGACGGUACCGGAUGAAGAAGCCCCGGCUAACUACGUG